rnacentral:rRNA from 1 species
UACAGAGGGUGCAAGCGUUAAUCGGAAUUACUGGGCGUAAAGCGUGCGUAGACGGUUACAUAAGUCGGGUGUGAAAGCCCCGGGCUCAACCUGGGAAUUGCAUUCGAGACUGCGUAGCUAGGGUGCGGAAGAGGGAAGCGGAAUUUCCGGUGUAGCGGUGAAAUGCGUAGAUAUCGGAAGGAACACCAGUGGCGAAAGCGGCUCCUGGUCCAGCACCGACGUCAGGCACGAAAGCGUGGGGAGCAAACAGGG